GGGCCCGCACAAGCGGUGGAGUAUGUGGUUUAAUUCGAUGCAACGCGAAGAACCUUACCAGGGUUUGACAUCCUGCGAAUUUCUGGGAAACCGGAAAGUGCCUUCGGGAACGCAGUGACAGGUGGUGCAUGGCUGUCGUCAGCUCGUGUCGUGAGAUGUUGGUUAAGUCCCGCAACGAGCGCAACCCACGUCUUUAGUUGCCAGCAUUUAGUGGGCACUUUAAAAGAACUGCCAGUGAUAAGCUGGAGGAAGGUGGGGAUGACGUCAAGUCCUCAUGGCCCUUAUGUGUUGGGCUACACACGUGCUACAAUGGUACUUACAAUGGGAAGCAAAGAGGCGACUCU
rnacentral:rRNA from 1 species